UACGAAGGGGGCUAGCGUUGCUCGGAAUCACUGGGCGUAAAGGGUGCGUAGGCGGGUCUUAAGUCAGGGGUGAAAUCCUGGAGCUCAACUCCAGAACUGCCUUUGAUACUGGUGAGCUUGAGUCCGGAAGAGGUGAGUGGAACUGCGAGUGUAGAGGUGAAAUUCGUAGAUAUUCGCAAGAACACCAGUGGCGAAGGCGGCUCACUGGUCCGGUACUGACGCUGAGGUGCGAAAGCGUGGGGAGCAAACAGG
rnacentral:rRNA from 1 species